GGGUUUGACAUACGCCGGAAGCCUGCAGAGAUGUGGGUCUCUUUGAUACCGGUGUACAGGUGGUGCAUGGCUGUCGUCAGCUCGUGUCGUGAGAUGUUGGGUUAAGUCCCGCAACGAGCGCAACCCUCGUCCUAUGUUGCCAGCAAGUUAGGUUGGGGACUCAUAGGAGACUGCCGGGGUCAACUCGGAGGAAGGUGGGGAUGGCGUCAAGUCAUCAUGCCCCUUAUGUCCAGGGCUUCACGCAUGCUACAAUGGCCGGUACAAAGGGCUGCGAUCCCGUGAGGGGGAGCGAAUCCCAAAAAGCCGGUCUCAGUUCGGAUUGGGGUCUGCAACUCGACCCCAUGAAGUCGGAGUCGCUAGUAAUCGCAGAUCAGCAACGCUGCGGUGAAUACGUUCCCGGGCCUUGUACACACCGCCCGUCACGUCACGAAAGUCGGCAACACCCGAAGCCAGUGGCCCAACCCUUGUGGGGGGAGCUGUCGAAGGUGGGGUUGGCGAUUGGGACGAAGUCGUAACAAGGUAAGCGUAGAUGA
rnacentral:rRNA from 1 species